UAAAUUAAUUAAAAUAACAACUAGGAAAUUGCAAAUAACACUAAAAUGUUAACGUGUACCUAAUGAACUCGGUCUAACUGAGAAAAUGCGGCAGCAAUGUAAGAACUUACAAUUAUGAUGAUUGAAGGCAGUCCCGCCACUUCCUGCUAUAAGCCGGGCUAACUGCGGAAGCGCGAACACCGGCUCCGAUAAUAUCUAUAAUCUAACGUCAAUCAACUUCAAGCACUAGCCAGUUAGCCCUAAUGCAUUCCAGAACAGUCAUUGUCCAAUUUCAACAAAAAAACAAAAAUAGAGUACGAUUCACUAUAAGAUAAUUAUAAUUUUAGUUUUUAUCAAAAAUGAACCAAACGGUAAUUGAAGUUUUGAUCGUAAAUAAAUCGAUUAAAUAUAUCGUGAUCACUAAACCGGGAUACAUGAGCGGCGUGCGCGCGCGCUGCCCGAGGCGCAAGCGCUGACGGAAUGCGCGCGCAGCAACCUCCUCUGGAGGCUGUGGCGCCGGCGCCGCGUCCUCUCCUCUCGUAUAAAAAUAGAAAGUCACAACCCGUA